UACGUAGGGGGCGAGCGUUGUCCGGAAUCAUUGGGCGUAAAGCGCGUGUAGGCGGCUCGGUCAGUCUGGUGUGAAAACUUGGGGCUCAACCCUAAGCCUGCACUGGAUACUGCUGGGCUUGAGUCCGGGAGGGGAGAGCGGAAUUCCUAGUGUAGCGGUGAAAUGCGCAGAUAUUAGGAAGAACACCGGUGGCGAAGGCGGCUCUCUGGAACGGUACUGACGCUGAGACGCGAAAGCGUGGGGAGCGAACAGG
rnacentral:rRNA from 1 species